GUGAAGAACGUAGCGAAAUGCGAUAAGUAAUGUGAAUUGCAGAAUUCAGUGAAUCAUCGAAUCUUUGAACGCACAUUGCGCCCUCUGGUAUUCCGGGGGGCAUGCCUGUUCGAGCGUCAUUAUAACCACUCAAGCUCUCGCUUGGUAUUGGGGCUCGCGGUUCCGCGGCCCCUAAAAUCAGUGGCGGUGCCUGUCGGCUCUACGCGUAGUAAUACUCCUCGCGAUUGAGUCCGGUAGGUCUACUUGCCAGCAACCCCCAAUUUUUACAGGUUGACCUCGGAUCAGGUAGGGAUACCCGCUGAACUUAAGCAUAUCAAUAAGCGGAGGA
rnacentral:misc_RNA from 1 species